rnacentral:lncRNA from 1 species
UAAUAUAAGGAUGUUUAAUUACGUCCGUCCAUCAAGAACGUGUCCAGAUACAUCCUAACCGUUCGAUCUACCAUAUUUUUAUAGAUCGACUUGAAUAGAUUGAUUGUAUCUCUAUAAAUCGCAUUAAAUAAAUCACUUGAGCCACAUCCAAUAUUAAUUCUCCCAUUUGACCUAGUGAUAUAUUCAUUACCAUAUAGGU